rnacentral:rRNA from 1 species
CCUACGGGAGGCAGCAGUGAGGAAUAUUGGUCAAUGGGCUUACGCCUGAACCAGCCAAGUCGCGUGAGGGAAGACUGCCCUAUGGGUUGUAAACCUCUUUUGUCAGGGAGCAAUUGGCGCUACGUGUAGCGUUAUCGAGAGUACCUGAAGAAAAAGCAUCGGCUAACUCCGUGCCAGCAGCCGCGGUAAUACGGGGGAUGCGAGCGUUAUCCGGAUUUAUUGGGUUUAAAGGGUGCGUAGGCGGAAUGCCAAGUCAGCGGGAAAAUCGCGGGGCUCAACCUCGCUCCGCCGUUGAAACUGGCGUUCUUGAGUGGGCGAGAAGUAUGCGGAAUGCGUGGUGUAGCGGUGAAAUGCAUAGAUAUCACGCAGAACUCCGAUUGCGAAGGCAGCAUACCGGCGCUCAACUGACGCUCAUGCACGAAAGCGUGGGUAUCGAACAGGAUUAGAUACCCCAGUAGUC